CUGCUGUGUCAUGCAAGUCACCAGGGAAGUGGGUAAAAGCUGGCAAUUAUAGGCCUCAUGCAGCCCAAAAGGCUGGUUUCACUUUCACUUUGCUCCCUCAACGGCACCAAGUUUAGUUCCAGGCAGUGGGUGAGCAGGGCUAAGAAACUGCCCCAGAAUACCAGCCUCCCAGCUGAGAAAGCAAGAAGGGCUUUUAGGUUUCACCUCUUCCCACCUGCCAUGGCUACUGUGCUGUGUCUGCAGUCCUGAUUCAUCCCCUCCCCUAAUUUCUGUUAGGGAAACUUUGCUUUUGGUCAAAAUUAUUGCAAAGUUUAGCUGGAAUUUUCCUUCUCUGUGUGGUCUUUCCCCCGUUCCCCUGGCAGCCCUCCCCAAGGACUUCUGUGAGACAAAGUCAGAAAUGACUUCCCUGGGGACUGAUAGCCCACAGGGCUCUUCCCACUGCUUCUUCCACCCCUAUAUUUCACUCAGCUCUCUAAAUUUGUCUCAGCUCCAGGAAGGCAGGAAUUUCAGCCUGGGCAACAAGUCUGCAGUACAUCAGAUUUCUGAAGAUGUGUGGGAUACAUGAUAGUUAAAUAGAAAUCCUUUCACUAUAGUUCCUGCUUCCCCAUCUUCAAAAUGAUUCCCUGAAGACUUCUACCUUGAAGGUCUAAAGCCUAA